rnacentral:rRNA from 1 species
UACGUAGGGGGCAAGCGUUGUCCGGAUUUAUUGGGCGUAAAGAGCGUGUAGGCGGCCAUGCGGGUCUGCUGUGAAAACUCGAGGCUCAACCUCGAGAGGUCGGUGGAAACCGCAUGGCUAGAGUCCGGAAGAGGAGAGUGGAAUUCCCGGUGUAGCGGUGAAAUGCGCAGAUAUCGGGAAGAACACCCGUGGCGAAGGCGGCUCUCUGGGACGGUACUGACGCUGAGACGCGAAAGCGUGGGGAGCGAACAGG